GUUGCGGUGGCCGAGUGGUUAAGGCGUUGGACUAGAAAUCCAAUGGGAUCUUCCCGCACAGGUUCGAAUCCUGCCCGCAACG
rfam:Nematostella vectensis strain CH2 x CH6 NEMVEscaffold_486_Cont28485, whole genome shotgun sequence.